GACGAACGCUGGCGGCGUGCUUAACACAUGCAAGUCGAACGGUGAAGCGCCUUCCUUUUUGGUUGGUGUGGAUGAGUGGCGAACGGGUGAGUAACACGUGAGUAACCUGCCCCCUUCUUCUGGAUAACCGCAUGAAAGUGUGGCUAAUACGGGAUAUUCUGGGUCUGUCGCAUGAUGGGUCUGGGAAAGAUAUUGUUUCGGUGGGGGAUGGUCUCGCGGCCUAUCAGCUUGUUGGUGGGGUGAUGGCCUACCAAGGCGGUGACGGGUAGCCGGCCUGAGAGGGUGGACGGACACACUGGGACUGAGACACGGCCCAGACUCAUACGGGAGGCAGCAGUGGGGAAUAUGGCACAAUGGGCGCAAGCCUGAUGCAGAGACGCCGCGUGAGGGAUGGAGGCCUUCGGGUUGUGAACCUCUUUCGCCAGUGAAGCAGGCCUGCCUCGUUUGUGGGUGGGUUGACGGUAGCUGGAUAAGAAGCGCCGGCUAACUACGUG
rnacentral:rRNA from 1 species